rnacentral:rRNA from 1 species
UACAGAGGGUGCAAGCGUUGUUCGGAAUUAUUGGGCGUAAAGGGCGCGUAGGCGGUGCUGUAAGUCUGUAGUGAAAUCUCUGGGCUCAACUCAGAGUCUGCUAUAGAAACUGCAGUGCUAGAGUGUGGGAGAGGUGAGUGGAAUUCCGGUGUAGCGGUGAAAUGCGUAGAUAUCGGGAAGGAACACCUGUGGCGGAAAGCGGCUCACUGG